GACGGAGGGGGCUAGCGUUGUUCGGAAUUACUGGGCGUAAAGAGUGCGUAGGUGGUUUAGUAAGUUGGAAGUGAAAGCCCUGGGCUUAACCUCGGAAUAGCUUUCAAAACUACUAAUCUAGAGUGUAGUAGGGGAUGAUGGAAUUCCUAGUGUAGAGGUGAAAUUCUUAGAUAUUAGGAGGAACACCGGUGGCGAAGGCGGUCAUCUGGGCUACAACUGACACUGAUGCACGAAAGCGUGGGGAGCAAACAGG
rnacentral:rRNA from 1 species